rnacentral:misc_RNA from 1 species
GAUGAAGAACGUAGCGAAAUGCGAUAAGUAAUGUGAAUUGCAGAAUUCAGUGAAUCAUCGAAUCUUUGAACGCACAUUGCGCCCGCCAGUAUUCUGGCGGGCAUGCCUGUUCGAGCGUCAUUUCAACCAUCAAGCCCCCCGGCUUGUGUUGGGGACCUGCGGCUGCCGCAGGCCCUGAAAAGCAGUGGCGGGCUCGCUGUCACACCGAGCGUAGUAGAUCUCAUCUCGCUCAGGGCGUGCUGCGGGUUCCGGCCGUUAAACCACCUUCAUAACCCAAGGUUGACCUCGGAUCAGGUAGGAAGACCCGCUGAACUUAAGCAUAUCAAUAAGCGG